UACGGAGGGAGCUAGCGUUGUUCGGAAUUACUGGGCGUAAAGCGCGCGCAGGCGGUUUUUCAAGUCAGUGGUGAAAGCCCGGAGCUCAACUCCGGAACUGCCAUUGAAACUGUGGAACUUGAGGAUGAGAGAGGUGAGUGGAAUUCCCAGUGUAGAGGUGAAAUUCGUUAGAUAUUGGGAGGAACACCGGUGGCGAAGGCGGCCAACUGGGCUGCAACUGACGCUGAGGCGCGAAAGCGUGGGGAUCAAACAGG
rnacentral:rRNA from 1 species